rnacentral:rRNA from 1 species
UACGGAGGGUGCAAGCGUUAUCCGGAUUCACUGGGUUUAAAGGGUGCGUAGGCGGAUCUGUAAGUCAGUGGUGAAAUCUCCGAGCUUAACUCGGAGACUGCCGUUGAUACUAUAGAUCUUGAAUGUUGUGGAGGUUAGCGGAAUAUGUCAUGUAGCGGUGAAAUGCAUAGAUAUGACAUAGAACACCAAUUGCGAAGGCAGCUGGCUACACAAAUAUUGACGCUGAGGCACGAAAGCGUGGGGAUCAAACAGG